UAGGUGACAGUAUUGUUAUGGUUGGAAAGCUGACGUUCCCGGAUUUCUACAGCCACCACGACCACACAUUUACGAGUGUCACAUAGGGGUUUUGUGAGAAGAUUUCCCAGUGAACCAGAGAGAGUUAGAAAGAGAGUAAGAUAUCUCUGGAAAGCUCUUGUUUCGAGGAAUCUGUAUCAGUUGACGGUUUCUUGUUUAGAGUUUCAGAUCGCUAGAACAGUAUUUCAACCGCUAUAUUCAGAAUUUAUUUUCAACCUUAGGACAAAGGUGAGGA